rnacentral:lncRNA from 1 species
CGCAAGGAGUUGAAUGGGACAGCCGUGUCUGGGAAAGGAGUGGCCAGCAGAGAGGCCAGAGGCAGGGCAGGCCUGAGCCACAGUAAACCAGGCAGUGACAAGGAGUUGAAUGGGACAGCCGUGUCUGGGAAUGGAGUGGCCAGCAGAGAGGCCAGAGGCAGGGCAGGCCUGAGCCACAGUAAACCAGGCAGUGACAAGGAGUUGAAUGGGACAGCCGUGUCUGGGAAUGGAGUGGCCAGCAGAGAGGCCAGAGGCAGGGCAGGCCUGAGCCACAGUAAACCAGGCAGUGACAAGGAGUUGAAUGGGACAGCCGUGUCUGGGAAAGGAGUGGCCGGCAGAGAGGCCAGAGGCAGGGCAGGCCUGAGCCACGGUAAACCAGGCAGUGACAAGGAGUUGAAUGGGACAGCCGUGUCUGGGAAAGGAGUGGCCGGCAGAGAGGCCAGAGGCAGGGCAGGCCUGAGCCACGGUAAACCAGGCAGUGACAAGGAGUUGAAUGGGACAGCCGUGUCUGGGAAAGGAGUGGCCGGCAGAGAGGCCAGAGGCAGGGCAGGCCUGAGCCACGGUAAACCAGGCAGUGACAAGGAGUUGAAUGGGACAGCCGUGUCUGGGAAAGGAGUGGCCGGCAGAGAGGCCAGAGGCAGGGCAGGCCUGAGCCACGGUAAACCAGGCAGUGACAAGGAGUUGAAUGGGACAGCCGUGUCUGGGAAAGGAGUGGCCAGCAGAGAGGCCAGAGGCAGGGCAGGCCUGAGCCACGGUAAACCAGGCAGUGACAAGGAGUUGAAUGGGACAGCCGUGUCUGGGAAUGGAGUGGCCAGCAGAGAGGCCAGAGGCAGGGCAGGCCUGAGCCACAGUAAACCAGGCAGUGACAAGGAGUUGAAUGGGACAGCCGUGUCUGGGAAAGGAGUGGCCAGCAGAGAGGCCAGAGGCAGGGCAGGCCUGAGCCACGGUAAACCAGGCAGUGACAAGGAGUUGAAUGGGACAGCCGUGUCUGGGAAUGGAGUGGCCGGCAGAGAGGCCAGAGGCAGGGCAGGCCUGAGCCACAGUAAACCAGGCAGUGACAAGAGGUGCAUUUGUCCAGGAUUGAGAAAAAGAACGUGUGUGGUUCCCACGGAUGACUAG